CAGGAUACAAAGGUCCACAAAGUGUAUUGUUAUUACCUAGCCUGGUGUAGGACAAGAAACAGCUUUCCCCAGACGCCGGGCUGCAAAUGCUGGAAGAAUGGUCUACAUUCUGUUUCUGAUCCCGCUGCUCCUUAUGGGUGGAGGUCAAGUGUCUGCAAACAAUAGACCUCAGUUUGGA